GGAGAAGGAAAUGGCAACCCACUCCAGUGUUCUUGCCUGGAGAAUCCCAGGGACGGGGGAGCCUGGUGGGCUGCCGUCUAUGGGGUCGCACAGAGUCAGAAACGACUGAAGUGACUUAGCAUAGCAGCAUGGCAUUGAGUUUCUAUAGCCUUUAGAAUGUAAGCUAGGAGUCAACACUUAAAAAAGGUGUACUUAAGUCAGACUUGUGAGUCAUCCUGGACACAGUUUGAAAAUACUAAGCUUGUGAGUAACUGAGCCAAGAUAUGUGACCUGAAAAACAUUCUAUCAAGCUAAAGAAAACUUCCCAAACUAAAGACUCAUACUGAACCAGAAGCCUGUGUCAUUGUUUCAGACACAUGUAAUUGCCCAUUAGGAGCCCCACUGAGGACACUUCUCUUUGUGUUGCUCGGCCUCUUGUAGUAGACUCAGGUACAUGGCAAAUGAACAAAUAACAGCACAAUUAUUAGUCACAAUGUCUCUUCACACACAUUUUCAGCAUUGGUCUAAAAUAGUUCCAAGAAUCUUUCCUCAAGGUUAAAAUUAAUCACAACAGAUGGUCCGAUUUUAAGAGAUUUGGAAAAAGUUUUGUUGCUCUGUUAACGUGGUACUGUCCCAUCAAGUGUGUCAGCUAUAUCUAGAAAGGACACAGUGAUGGAAGGAACUCUGAGAAGAACACUUGACAUAAGCAGGGGUUCUUAUCUGGGCAUCCCAUUCACUCCUCAACCCACUGCACCUUAGAAUGCUAAUUCAGUAUUUAAAACUACUUUCUUAAAAGGCCACUAAUGAAGUUGCCAGAGCCCCACCUCUGCAUCAUUUCACACUGUUAGUGACUAAUUUCCUUCACACACCUGUCCUCUUACUUGACCCUGUAUGCAUCAAUAUUCUUUUCUUUGCAGGGCACUCUAUCAGUGUUCUUUCCCAUGGAGGGUGGUGUGUGCGCUCAAUUGCUCAAGCGUGUUCAACUCUGCAAAAGCCUCAUGGACUGGAGCUUGCCAUGCUUCUCUGCCCAUGGUGGUGAUAAUUACAAAUGAUCACAGUGACCUAAAUCUUGGUUGACCUCUGUCCAGAGUUUACAAGUAUUUGUUGAAAUGACACUGUGCAUUGUUUGAUCCACAAAAGAUUUUCAAUCACAUUCUAAUUUGGAUCACUGUUCUUCAGUUUCUCGUGGAUGACCGCAAGGGUCUUUAGAUUUACAUUUUGGUGUAUGGAGUCUCAUCAUGAUCAUAGCAAAGUUACUUUUAGAAAAAUUACAGCCUUGAUUUUUUUGAAGCUAUUCAAUGUAUGCUAGCCAUGUAAACAAAAUUUGAUGUGAUGUCUAGCUGACUUGAUCAUGUCAUAUCAAUAUGUAUGUAUCUCUGUUAACUAUGCAGACUAAUAAAACCUUCAAAC
ensembl:lncRNA